rnacentral:lncRNA from 1 species
UUAUAUAAAGACAUGUUAUAUGGCUAAAGUAUCUGUUGAGUAUCUGUAACAUUAGACGGCUAAAGUAACAUUAGACGGCUAAGUACAUAAUGUACGAGAAAGUAAAGAAAAUAGCAGGUUAUUUGACAGCAGCUACAAAUAAAAAUGACAGACAACAUGCAUUGAUAACUAGUGCAUUGUGCUGAUUUGUUCCCGCUAAACAUGACUAAGAUGACUACAAACAACACGGGCAUGAUGAAGGAUAUUAUACUAAUUCGACCGAAAGCAUCCAAACAGGAUAUCCUUCCAAUUGAAAUCUGGUGCGACAACCGAUACCUCAUGGGAGCGUUGGCCGACGUCCUACAUCUUUGGAUGAGCCUCGGAAAGACAUUGCUUUCUGAAGCUCGGCCCGUAACGUGUCUACAUUUUCGUCUCUAGUCUUUUCUGUCUAAUUUCGUCACGUGCUUUAAUUAGGGACCUCUUUGGCCACCUACAACUUCGCCUUCAUCGUACCAUUCAAAGAAGUUGGCCACCCCGUAACUCCUCGUCGACCUCAAAGUCUGUGUCCUGCGGUAUGACAGAAGUCACACGUACCUACACAUACCGUUUUUGGAGACGUAUAUUUGGAAAAAUCAAAUGAAUGAUUAGCCGGUUACAAAAGAAGUGAAUCAUUAUAUAUACACUAUGAUAUUCUUCCAGGACCGGCUACUUUUAAAACUGUAUGUCUAACUCAGUUGUUUUCCUGCUACAUUGACUAAAAUAGUCAUAAUCAACAACACGAUUCUGUUGGCCGGCUAUUGUAUAGAGUACAUGUAUAAUGUAGUCAAUGUCCAGCUAUACGUGUGUGGUGGAAAGCAAAUGAAGGAUGAGGAGUUUGUGAAGGGGCUUACUUUUUUAGCGGCAUCCAAGGUCCUUGCGUGCGCUGGGUUGAUACGAGGGGAUGUGUGAAAAAUCAGCAACUUCAGCACCAGCCAACUCUGACGUAAAGUCUUGCCGGAUAACUUCAGUAAGAGCAGGAACGACUAUUGUAUAGAGUACAUGAUUCAAAAAAAUACAGGAAAAAAUUUACAAGAACGAACAAGAGGAUAUCGAAUACGGUGAGCCGAGAAAACAGAAUCAAGCGAUCGGGAUUCUGCCAGAGAGAUAGAGGCGAUUGAGUUAGAAGGAGAUUUAUUCCAAGGUUUCUUCGUCGAAACCCAGUAAAGAGGAAGAGAUAUGGCAGAUUUUAACAAAUCAUGGUUUCGACGGAUAAAUCAGAGAUGAGAGAUGAAAGAAUGAAAUUGCGGAAAAAUCAAAAGAGGAAGAGAGAGGAUAAAUAUGAUUUCGAAAUGUAUUGGUUGUAGUGAUGAGAUUUCUCAUUCUAUCUCUUACUUCACGC